GCAGACGGCAGGCGGCGCUGUGCGGGCUCGCAGGAGAUGGGUCCGGGGCGGGACGCAGUUGCGGCGGCGAGGUUUUUGUGAGGGGUGGGCUUGAUGGUGACUGAUAGCUGUGAUGAUGGAUUGCCGGUUUAUGCAAUUACAUAAUCAUGAUGCAGUUACCUCUUAGUUGUGUCAUUAUUUGACUGGUAAUGUAGAUGGGAGUACUGGUGCUGUGGUUAAUGGAUAUUGCUAUUCGUUACUGACAGCUGGAGCAGUAAUUGGGGCCCUAUAAAGUAUAUAUUAAAAGGAAUAAAUGUUAUAUGUCUGGUGCAGCAGUAGAAAAUUUCAGGUUCCCAGGCAGUAAAUUGUAUUCUUUAAAUCAUUAUAGUUUGGGGGUUUUUUUUACUUCCAGGUAGCCUGAAAGUUUCUACUGCUGCUUUUUUAUUCUAAAGCUAAAAAGAAAAAUAAAGUUAGAACUACAGGGAAAGAAAGAAAAGAAGGAAAGAAAGAAAGGAAGGAAAGAAAUAAAGGAAGAAAAGAAAUAAAGGAAGAAAGAAAGGAAGGAAGGAAAGGAAGAAUUGAAGAAAGAAAGGAAGGAAGGAAGGAGGAAGGGAGGAAGGAAGGAGGAAAGAAAGAAAGAAAGAGAAAGAAAGAAAGAAAGUUAGUGGGUAGUAUAUUUACUAUGUAUUUCCUCAGAGUAAAGGCCUUCUGCAGUUGCUGGGCUGCUCUCCCAGCUUGGAACACUGCACACUUGCUACAGCUUCCAUGGAUUGUCAACGUUGCCAGGAUGGUCCAUGCAUGUUAUGCUGAAACUAAAAAACAGGCCAACAGACCUGGUUCGUCACUCUGGUGGGAACUCAGGAAGUAGCACAGGGCUCUGUGGUGGAGCCUUGACCUUUUCCAUUUAAAGGUGUCGCCUGGAGAGCCUUCAGGAACGGCCGAGGAGUUGCUGCAGAGCCGGCGAUGACGGCGGCGGCCUCCGAGCGUGGCCGAAGCGUGCGGCCCGAUGAGCCGGGCGUUCUUAGCAGAAGGCUGACCAAGAGACCAGAGCCCGGUGACUGCGGAAAAUUCCCAGCGGGUGAGGCGGCCUUCCUUGACACCAGAGGCGGAUUCUCAUCCCCGGACGUCCAAGAGAUAAGUGGAGGUUUACGACCCCCCUGAGAGGGGGACGAAAGCGAGGUGCUGGGAGGGCCUUUUGAGCAGCAGCUUUGGAGGCGGGGUUGUGCAAGAGGUGGCCCCUUAGGCCACCUAAAGGAAAAGUCACCCAGUGCUGAGAUGCUCAGGGCAGAGCAGUCCCAGUGCACGUCACUUGUGUCCAUUGUCUACCAUGCCUUGCAUGUCUUUUGUGCGUCUCACGUCCUUUGCCUUAGUCCUUCGAGGGGCUUAUCUGAAACGCAGGUGUCCAUUUUUGUAACUCAGAUCUGUGUUCCUUGGCCCAGUGCCAAUUCCUUCAAAGCCUUGACUCAGGAGGCUGGCCAGGCAUGGGCAUAGCAUCUCUCUUUAGAAUUAUCCAGUCAGAUGUCUUGUAAGGUCUUGUUCUGAGCCAUUCUCGACAGCUGUGCAUAGCAACGAUCCAUUCUAGCUGAUUAGGACUUGUACAAAUGGCAAGAUAGGUAGAGGAUUGUGACGGUAGGAUUCUCAGGCGCCCAUCUUUGCAAUGCUUGCGAUAAAUUCUUUGGUUAGCAUCUUCUUCCUCCAGGGUUCUCUGAGCCUCACGGGCUUGCCAUCACUCUCACCCAGGUCAUCUCGUCCCACCUUCUCCCGGUCAUUGCUGGCAUUCUUCUCGCCGAGAGCUUUCUCUCUCCGUUGUGUCCUCUCGUUUGUCUUGUUCUGUGUCACGGGUGUCUGGGUAUUUGGCCCAAAGCUGCUCUGCCUUGCUGCACAGCCUGGUGUAGGUGUAAUAGGACAAGUCCGGGGGCAUGGGGAUCGGUAAUGCAGGGUGUAGCUGGACUCCAGAUGGGAUUUGUAGCUUGACACGUGAUGUCUGGAACUCUUAAGUUAUUCUGCAGCGCUCUGACUUUUGUCCUCCCAUUCUUUCAGGUGCCGCCAGACGAAAUCCACGGCAGAGAGCAGCGUGCCGGGUGAGUGGAUCCCUGGGCAGGGUAAUGGACCCACCUUGGUGUUCAGGGGCCUGUGGCCCUGAGUGGGCAGCCACCUCCAGAAAGUCUGCAUGGCACAGGAUGCCUCCCAGACCCAACCCACCGCCACCUGGAACUCACAGUGCUUUGACAGUCCCAAUUGCCUCCUGCAAAAUGACAUCAGGAGCCUGGGAUGCUCAGAAUUCCUCCUAGACCGAGCCUGCCACCACUGGGAAUUUCUGCUGCUGUGACAGUCCCAAGCACCUUCUGCAAACUGACGUCGAGGAACCUGGGCUGCUGAGUUUUUUCUUCCCUGAGAAAAGGACUUGCCUUGGUGUUCAGGGGCCUGUGACCCUGAGUGGGCAGCCACCUCUUGAAAUUCCACAUGCCACAGGAUGCCUCCCAGAUCCAACUUGUCACCACCAGAAACUUGGGCUGCUUUGACAGUCCUAAGCACUUCCUGCAAACUGACUUCAGGUACCUAGGCUCGUGAGUUUCAUUUCCGAGGGAAAAGGACCCACCUCUCAGUUCAGGGGCCUGUGAUCCCGAGUGGGUGGCCCCAUACUGAAAUUCCACACGGUGUAGGAUGCCUCCGAGACCCAACCUGCCAGCUCCGGGAACUCAUGCUUGUUUUGACAGUCCCUAGUGCCUCGCCUCCUGCAAACUGCCAGCAGGAGCCUGGGCCGGUGAGUUUUGUUUCCCAGGAAAAAGGACCAGAGUUGGUGUUCAGGGGUCCAUGCCUCAGAGUCGGUGGCCGCCUCCAGAAAUUCCACACGGCUCAGAAUUCCUCCUAGACCCAAGCUGCCACUAUCACCGGCUGCGGGCUAUGUACAAAUCAAAAACAGGAUGAGACUGCUAGGAAUGUGCCUUGAGCUGUUUUAUUUUUCAGCAUCAGUCUCAUUACAUGGUUAUGACAAUGGGAAGAUGCCAGCAGCUCACAUCCCAGGCAGUAGACUGUAGGCGAGACUGGGGGUAGCACGGUCGGGACGGAUGGAGACGAGAGAUCUCUGAAGCUAAGUCGUGGAACUUGCGGUUUAUUGCAAAGGGCAUGGGUACAGGGCCCUGCUGGGAGCUGCCAGCUGCAGCUCGGAGCAGGCCCGAGAGAAGAGAAAGAAUGAGAGGGUAAUAACGUAAAAAGGCAAGAGCUAAGAGCAUAGAAAAGUAAGAGCGCAAGAGUAAAAGCAAGAGAACAAGAGCAAAAGCAAGAGCAUAAGAGCAAAAGCAAGAGCAUAAGAGCAAAAGCAAGAGCAUAAGAGCAAAAGCAAGAGCAUAAGAGCGUGAAGUUCCCGUUACAAUACAAUAAAUCAUCUUCUGUGUUGAA